GACAACAGUCUGCAACAGUGGGCCUCGUUAAUUAGCUGCUUAAGUAGUGGGCGUGGUCAGUAAUCAGCUGCAGGAGAAUGUGCAUGUGAAGUCAGUCAAAGCUUAGUUGGUUUGAAGGUGAAAUAUUGUACAGAAACGUCCUCAGUUCGAGUGGCUCACCCCGCUGACUCACCCAGAACUCCACACUCAAGUCAGCCUAAGUGGCUGCAGCGUUGUCCAGUCUCAGCUGCGUCACCUGACCACAGAUGUUCUGGAGAAUUGGCAGGAGCUCCACGUUGGAGCUGAGUGUGUGUCUCUGGUCGGACUUCAGGAAGUGUGACAUAAUUUCUGCUAAGUGGAAAGCAGAACGUCACCCAGGUGGCGUUCCCGAGCAGAGACUUCCCAUGCGGCUCCACUUUUCACUGAGAUGUCCACCAUGAUGCUCCUGGUGUCCGAACAGGAAGCACGAGACUAGUGAACACCAACAACACAGAACAAGUCAAGAAACUAAAAGUUUAAGGACAAGAAAAGUGACUUGAAAACUGUGAUUAAAGGGACCCAAACUAUGUGUAUAAAUCCAUUUUACCAUGUUAAUACAGAAGGUUCUGGAAA